AACUUGCACCUCUGGAUAUGCUGUUGGGGUCCUCAUUGGUGAUAAGUUACACCUCAAUCCUGUUCAUGCAGUUGUACAACUCCGGCCAUCAAAGCGGAAUCUUAAGGAAAGUGAGUUGAAGAAGAACAUUAUCACCAACAAUGAUGAAAAAAGUGUUGAAAAUGAAGACGUCAAGGAGAAAAGGCCCGUGGGACCAUCAAAGAAGCAGAACAAAUCACCUGG
rnacentral:misc_RNA from 1 species